GAUGUUGAAAACAGUAUGGAUUUCUGAGCUGUUAUAUAGCUUAGGCUAAAAGGGAAGCAGGUGAGAAUCCUGCACGGUUUUGCCGCUGUAUUGGGGAGAUGUUUCAAUCAGUACCGCUUAUUGAUAGUUUGGAAAAGCUUGAAACAUCGAUGAUUCUAAGUCAGAGGACCUUUCUAUGUUUAGAUGAUCGU
rnacentral:ncRNA from 2 species